rnacentral:rRNA from 1 species
GAUGAACGCUGGCGGCGUGCCUAACACAUGCAAGUCGAGCGAUUCUCUUUGGAGAAGAGCGGCGGACGGGUGAGUAACGCGUGGGUAACCUGCCUCAUACACAUGGAUAACAUACCGAAAGGUAUGCUAAUACAGGAUAACAUAAGAGAUUCGCAUGUUUCUCUUAUCAAAGCUCCGGCGGUAUGAGAUGGACCCGCGUCUGAUUAGCUAGUCGGUAAGGUAAUGGCUUACCAAGGCAACGAUCAGUAGCCGACCUGAGAGGGUGAUCGGCCACAUUGGAACUGAGACACGGUCCAAACUCCUACGGGAGGCAGCAGUGGGGAAUAUUGCACAAUGGGCGAAAGCCUGAUGCAGCAACGCCGCGUGAGUGAUGAAGGCCUUCGGGUCGUAAAACUCUGUCCUCAAGGAAGAUAAUGACGGUACUGAGAGAGUCCCC